AUGUGCGCAUGCAUGAUAGAUCUGAAGAAGGCAAUGACCAAGAUCACGGAGCUAGAAGAAGAACUCAAGUCUACAUGCGAUGGAUAUGAGGAGGAAAUGAUGACACUCAUAGAGAAGAAUGAUGAUCUAAAGAAGCUAAAAGUAUUCAUGGGAUUCCCCGCGCCAAGAGGAGAUGGCGACGAUUGCACUUGCCCGGAGAACUACAUUAUCAUCGAUGACACCGACUCAGACCCCGACGAUAGCGAUGAUGACUAUGUUGAUGAAGCUGGAGCAGAUAUCAUGGAGUCUUCGACCGAUCAAUUUUUCUAG
rnacentral:rRNA from 1 species